GAUGAAGAACGUAGCGAAAUGCGAUAAGUAAUGUGAAUUGCAGAAUUCAGUGAAUCAUCGAAUCUUUGAACGCACAUUGCGCCCGCCAGUAUUCUGGCGGGCAUGCCUGUUCGAGCGCCAUUACAACCCUCAGGCCCCCGGGCCUGGCGUUGGGGAUCGGCGGAGCCCCCCGUGGGCACACGCCGUCCCCCAAAUACAGUGGCGGUCCCGCCGCAGCUUCCAUCGCGUAGUAGCUAACACCUCGCGACUGGAGAGCGGCGCGGCCACGCCGUAAAACACCCAACUCUUCUGAAGUUGACCUCGAAUCAGGUAGGAAUACCCGCUGAACUUAAGCAUAUCAAUAAGCGGAGGA
rnacentral:misc_RNA from 1 species